GAUGAACGCUGUCGGCGUGCCUAAUACAUGCAAGUCGAGCGAACGGACGAGAAGCUUGCUUUUCUGAUGUUAGCGGCGGACGGGUGAGUAACACGUGGAUAACCUUCCUAUAAGACUGGGAUAACUUCGGGAAACCGGAGCUAAUACCGGAUAAUAUUUUGAACCGCAUGGUUCAAAAGUGAAAGACGGUCUUGCUGUCACUUAUAGAUGGAUCCGCGCUGCAUUAGCUAGUUGGUAAGGUAACGGCUUACCAAGGCAACGAUGCAUAGCCGAACUGAGAGGGUGAUCGGCCACACUGGAACUGAGACACGGUCCAGACUCCUACGGGAGGCAGCAGUAGGGAAUCUUCCGCAAUGGGCGAAAGCCUGACGGAGCAACGCCGCGUGAGUGAUGAAGGUCUUCGGAUCGUAAAACUCUGUUAUUAGGGAAGAACAUAUGUGUAAGUAACUGUGCACAUCUUGACGGUACCUAAUCAGAAAGCCACGGCUAACUACGUG
rnacentral:rRNA from 1 species